rnacentral:lncRNA from 1 species
GAUUAUAAAUAAAGGCAACAGUAGUAUACCGCUGUUCAAAAAUCAUAAAUCCAUGGACAAAAAACAAAAUCGGGGUAACAAACUAAAACCGAGGGAAACGCAUUAAAUAUAAGAGGAGAACAACGACAUAACACUAAAAUGUAACACACAUAGACAAAAUCCCACGAGAAUAACAAAUAUAACAUAUAUAUAUAUAUAACAUCAAAACCAAAUACAUGAAUUUGGGAUAGACAA